rnacentral:rRNA from 1 species
UACGGAGGAUCCGAGCGUUAUCCGGAAUUAUUGGGCGUAAAGAGCGCGCAGGUGGUUGAUUAAGCCUGAUGUGAAAGCCCACGGCUUAACCGUGGAGGGUCAUUGGAAACUGGUCGACUUGAGUGCAGAAGAGGGAAGUGGAAUUCCAUGUGUAGCGGUGAAAUGCGUAGAGAUAUGGAGGAACACCAGUGGCGAAGGCGGCUUCCUGGUCUGUAACUGACACUGAGGCGCGAAAGCGUGGGGAGCAAACAGGAUUAGAUA